GAGAUUUUCUGUAUUCUUUUAGGUUAAAUACGAGGGAGACUAAAGANUGUGGGAAGAGAAGAGAAGGGGGAGAUCGUGGUUGCUGUCACUGGAGAAAGAACACCUUCAGACCUUGCUAGGAACCAAAGGACCAUUAACAACUCUCUGGAAAACCAAGUAAGGGGAGUUAACACUUUUAAUUAUGGAUGUGCAUGGUGUAUUGUAGUAGAAUCUAGGACUUCGUGGAACCGUAGAGAAUAUGGUAAGGAGUCACGCAUGUGUCUUUGGGUUUAGCUAUAGAGAAUAUGUUUUACGUAAAGAGUGUGGAUGAGUUUAUCUAAAUGUUNGGGCACACUAUCGACCAUGGUUAGACGUGUUGGGGUAGAGUCGGAGUGUUGUGUUCUACCGAAUGCAGCACCAAUUCGGGUUAUGUGUAUUCGUGGAGUGGUU
rnacentral:lncRNA from 1 species